rnacentral:rRNA from 1 species
AUUGAACGCUGGCGGCAUGCUUUACACAUGCAAGUCGAACGGUAACAGGCCUUCGGGUGCUGACGAGUGGCGAACGGGUGAGUAAUGCAUCGGAACGUGCCCAAUCGUGGGGGAUAACGUAGCGAAAGUUACGCUAAUACCGCAUAAGCCCUGAGGGGGAAAGCAGGGGAUCGCAAGACCUUGCGCGAAUGGAGCGGCCGAUGUCAGAUUAGCUAGUUGGUGGGGUAAAAGGCCUACCAAGGCGACGAUCUGUAGCGGGUCUGAGAGGAUGAUCCGCCACACUGGGACUGAGACACGGCCCAGACUCCUACGGGAGGCAGCAGUGGGGAAUUUUGGACAAUGGACGCAAGUCUGAUCCAGCAAUGCCGCGUGCAGGACG